rnacentral:tRNA from 2 species
UUCAGUUGGUUAGAAUACCUGCCUGUCACGCAGGGGGUCGCGGGUUCGAGUCCCGUCCGUUCCGCCACUUAUUA